rnacentral:tRNA from 2 species
GGCGGCAUAGCCAUGUGGUAAGGCCAAGGUCUACAAAAUCUUUAUCAUUGGUUCGAUCCCAAUUGCCGCCUC